rnacentral:Y_RNA from 1 species
UGCUGAUCUAAGUACACUGGUGUUUAUAACUAAUUGAUCACAACUACUUACAGAUUUCUGUGUCCCUUCUUCACUCACAGUUCUUCAUUUGAGUAGCUGUU